rnacentral:rRNA from 1 species
CUAACAGGUAGAGCUGAGCACUCUAAUGGGACUGCCGGUGACAAGCCGGAGGAAGGUGGGGAUGACGUCAAAUCAUCAUGCCCUUUAUGACCUGGGCUACACACGUGCUACAAUGGAUGGUACAGAGAGCAGCGAGGCAGCGAUGUGGAGCGAAUCUCAAAAAGCCAUUCUCAGUUCGGAUUGGAGUCUGCAACUCGACUCCAUGAAGUCGGAAUCGCUAGUAAUCGCGAAUCAGCAUGUCGCGGUGAAUGCGUUCCCGGGCCUU